GCAGGUUUGCCCCUGGACCUUUCAGUUAUAUGAACAAAUAUGGGUUGGAUUUCCUUAUACUUACAAGUAGUUGGGUUGCUUUCUUUUUUCCUGUUUAUUUUUCUUGCUCAUGAGAUGCACACAAAUUGUUUUUUAUUAUGGGUAUAAGUGAUCACAAAGUGCCCAUUUUCUCUAUAACCUGAACAGAGAGAGUAUGGGCAUCUCAGCUUCACUGGGCCACAGCAUCAAUCUUUACCCUGAAUUCAGCUUUGAUGCACCUGAGUGCCUGAUGAGCUACAGGGAUCCUGUUUCUGAAAACUUUACGUGGGUGACAAAAUAGCAAAAUAGUGUGUGAGGCCUUUGCCUUGAGACCUGGGUUUGUUCCGGAGACAACUCUAAUGGAGGAGAGAGAUUUGCUCCUCCCACUCUCCUCGCUGACAUUUGGCCUCAGGGGACUGAGUCAUACCCGACUGACUCCAUGUAUAUAAGUGUGAAUGGCAGUCUGGUAGUCCAACCAGGUGAUGCUUCCUGUCCCCGGAGGGUAGCCAAUAUCAUCUCCUGCUUUUCUUCCUUCUGAUUUAGCAUCACUCAGGGCAGGAAUUCUGGGCUGGAGGAGAGGGGCCUAUAGUUCUCUUGUAUGGUCUGAGUUUGCUCACACAGCAACCUGCUCUUAUCUAGUCUGAUUUUUUUCAACAGCAUCCUGUUGUACCUUGUCAUCUGGCUCUGUGGACAGGCCUUUCUGGUCUUCACACUGAUGCAGGUACUAACUCAAUCUCAGCCGGUCACGGUGGUUCACGCCUCUAAUCCCAACACUUUGCGAGGUGGAGACGGGUAGAUCGCUUGAGGUCAGGAGUUCAAGACCAGUCUGGCCAACAUGGCAAAACCCCAUCUCUACCAAAAACACAAAAAUUAGUGGGGUGUGGUGCCCCAUGUCUAUAGUCCCACCUACUUGGGAAGCUGAGGUGGGAGAGUCACUUGAACCCUGGAGGCAGAGGCUGCAGUGAGCUGAGAUGGUGCCACUGCACUCCAGCCUGGGUGACAGACAGAGACUGUCCCCCCACCCCCGAAAAAAAAAAUCAAUCUUGCAUUCCUAACAUCAGUCGCACUUGGUCAUGGUACGUAAUUCUUUUUGUAUGCUACUAGAUUCGGUUUUCUACUAAGGCAACCACUAUUAAUUAUUAAAAACUGCACAGAUGAUCUGAACAUUGUACAAAAACUUAAGCAGAAUUCUUCUAUGGAAGGCUUUGUUUUCAGGUUAAAAUAAGGCAUGUUCACAAUUAGUAAUACAUGAACUAUUAUCUUCUAGUAAUUCUUGCCCGUAUGAGCAUAAAGCCACUACAGAUAUUCCGGAAAUGAACUCAGACCUUGACUUGCACAUAGUAAUAACAGAAAAAGGCACUGCGAAUCCCCAAUAGCCGCUUUAUAAGAAAGGAAUCUGAGUCAAAUUCUUAGACAUCAGUUUAAAGUCUAGAAGACAAAGUAACCUUUAAGAAAAAGACCUAACAUCAGCCGGGCACGGUGGUUCACCAAUCCCAGCACUUUGGGAGGCCGAGGCAGGCAGAUCAC
rnacentral:lncRNA from 10 species